GUUGAAACAACGGCUCCCGUACGAUCACCGAAGUUAAGCAGCGUCGAACCUGGUUAGUACGUAGAUGGGUGACUGUUUGGAAAUACCAGGUGCU